rnacentral:rRNA from 1 species
GACGAACGCUGGCGGCGUGCUUAACACAUGCAAGUCGAACGGAAAGGCCUGCUUUCCCUUGUGGAUUGCGGGUACUCGCGUGGCGAACGGGUGAGUAACACGUGAGUGAUCUGCCCCCAACUUGGGUAUAAGCCUGGGAAACUGGGUCUAAUUCCCGAUAGGACUGCAGGGUGGUGCCUGUGGUGGAAAACGAUUUUCUAGUGGUUGGGGAUGAGCUCGCGGCCUAUCAGCUUGUUGGUGGGGUAAUGGCCUACCAAGGCGGCGACGGGUAGCCGGCCUGGGAGGGUGGACGGCCACAGUGGGACUGAGAUACGGCCCAGACUCCUACGGGAGGCAGCAGUGGGGAAGAUUGCACAAUGGGCGGAAGCCUGAUGCAGCGACGCCGCGUGGGGGAUGACGGCCUUCGGGUUGUAAACUCCUUUCGACCGCGAGGAAGCCACCUGGUUGGAAGGGUGGUGACGGUAGUGGUAGAAGAAGCACCGGCUAACUACGUG